UACGUAGGGGGCAAGCGUUGUCCGGAAUCAUUGGGCGUAAAGAGCGUGUAGGCGGCUCGGUAAGUCCGCUCUGAAAGCCCGGGGCUCAACCCCGGGAGGCGGGCGGAUACUGUCGGGCUAGAGUCCGGAAGAGGCGAGUGGAAUUCCUGGUGUAGCGGUGAAAUGCGCAGAUAUCAGGAGGAACACCAAUGGCGAAGGCAGCUCGCUGGGACGGUACUGACGCUGAGACGCGAAAGCGUGGGGAGCAACAGG
rnacentral:rRNA from 1 species